UACGUAGGGGGCAAGCGUUGUCCGGAUUUAUUGGGCGUAAAGAGCGUGUAGGCGGCCAUGUAGGUCCGUUGUGAAAACUCGAGGCUCAACCUCGAGACGCCGAUGGAAACCAUGUGGCUAGAGUCCGGAAGAGGAGAGUGGAAUUCCUGGUGUAGCGGUGAAAUGCGCAGAUAAUCAGGAGGAACACCGAUGGCGAAGGCAGAUCUCUGGGC
rnacentral:rRNA from 1 species